rnacentral:rRNA from 1 species
AGAUUGAACGCUGGCGGCAUGCUUUACACAUGCAAGUCGAACGGCAGCACGGGGGCAACCCUGGUGGCGAGUGGCGAACGGGUGAGUAAUAUAUCGGAACGUACCCGGAAAUGGGGGAUAACGUAGCGAAAGUUACGCUAAUACCGCAUAUGCCCUGAGGGGGAAAGCGGGGGAUUCGUAAGAACCUCGCGUUUUCGGAGCGGCCGAUAUCGGAUUAGCUAGUAGGUGAGGUAAAGGCUCACCUAGGCGACGAUCCGUAGCUGGUCUGAGAGGACGACCAGCCACACUGGAACUGAGACACGGUCCAGACUCCUACGGGAGGCAGCAGUGGGAAUUUGGACAAUGGGCGCAAGCCUGAUCCAGCCAUGCCGCGUGAGUGAAGAAGGCCUCGGUGUAAAGCUCUUUCAGCCGAAAGAAAACGACACGGUAAUAACCUGUGUGGAUGACGGUACCGGAAGAAGAAGACACCGGCUAACUACGUAGCCAGACAGCCGC